GAUGAACGCUGGCGGCGUGCCUAAUACAUGCAAGUCGAGCGAACAGACGAGGAGCUUGCUCCUCUGACGUUAGCGGCGGACGGGUGAGUAACACGUGGAUAACCUACCUAUAAGACUGGGAUAACUUCGGGAAACCGGAGCUAAUACCGGAUAAUAUAUAGAACCGCAUGGUUCAAUAGUGAAAGACGGUUUUGCUGUCUCUUAUAGAUGGAUCCGCGCCGCAUUAGCUAGUUGGUAAGGUAACGGCUUACCAAGGCAACGAUGCGUAGCCGACCUGAGAGGGUGAUCGGCCACACUGGAACUGAGACACGGUCCAGACUCCUACGGGAGGCAGCAGUAGGGAAUCUUCCGCAAUGGGCGAAAGCCUGACGGAGCAACGCCGCGUGAGUGAUGAAGGUCUUCGGAUCGUAAAACUCUGUUAUUAGGGAAGAACAAAUGUGUAAGUAACUAUGCACGUCUUGACGGUACCUAAUCAGAAAGCCACGGCUAACUACGUG
rnacentral:rRNA from 1 species